rnacentral:lncRNA from 1 species
UUAACUACUUUAGUUGAUUAAUAUCCUCAUUUUAUUAGGUUGAUUUUAAUACAAAUAUCUUGGUCAUGAAACAAAAAAGAGUAAUAAAACUGGUAAGUGAAUAUACCACUUAUAACGUAGUAUAUGUUAAUCAGGUAUCAAAUAUGUAUGUUUGAACUCAUUUCACAUUUUCGUUGAGUUAUGAAUGUUAAACUCUUUCACAACAUUUUUAUAAUCUUGCAACCUGUACUCGUAUCUACAGAGUAUAAUAGUUUUGCACCACCUAUCUAAGCGAGAUAGAUGUAGGGUUAUACUACACGUAUCUAAAUGAUCAGGAUAAUGCGACAAGUUGAAUUCCGAGUGACUGUCUGUAUAUCCAUCCGUCCGUUCGUGCAAGCUGUAACUUGAGUAAAAAUAAAGAUAUCUUGAUGAAACUUAAUAACUAUGUUCCUUCGCAAGAAAGUAAGAUGGAGUUCGUAUAUGGGUGUAAUCAGACCACUGGCAUGCCCAUAAAACGCUAUUAACCGGAAACGUAGAAGUAUACGUAGGGGUAACAGUUUUAAUAUGCACAUAUCCUAGACCACUAAAGCUACAAAGCUCGAGAUAAAUCCCUUAAGCACCCUUUUCGACACUGUAAAAAUAUCACGGGACCCAAAAGACACAUUUCGACUAAAUUUGGUACGUGACAUUCUUCUUACAUUCUUAUAUCUCAGAGCACAAUGCGAUUUUGCACUGAUAAUUAUUUUAAAGUACGCCACUUUAUGACAAAAAAUUUGCCAAAUGCAUUUUUCAAGCCCCAAAUACUAGAAAUGUGGAUUCAGUAGCUACGAGUAUAGUUCAGUUUUAUCACACAUAGCGGCCAAGAUGUGAGUUAUCACAAUAAAAAUGGGAGAGCGUAUUUUACUCAUAAAAGUGUAUAGUGUAUGGAUAAAUUUGGUCGUAAACUUGACCUAGCCCAUAUAUAACUAAUACCAGAAUUUUCGAACAUUUGGCUGAUUUUACUCCAUAUAAUAGGUGAUUGUAUGUGGGGUGCCUAAUGAAACGCAGGAACAUGUUUUUAGUAUGUGGCAUAUCGUCCUUAAUUCUUUAGUAUAAAGUUUUACCGUCACCUGAAACUAAUUGCGAGAAUAUAAAAUGUUCGGCUGAACUCGGUACAGAUCACUGAUCUAAAAAAAAAUUAAUUAUGUCGCAUUUUGGAACUUCUUCUAAAUAUGACACUUAAUCGAAAUAUAUUAUACACCGAUAUGGGUACUGAUAUUUGGAAAAUGAAAUAAGAAGUAAGCAUUAAAUUUAUUUCAAGGUCAUCUAAAUCAAACAAAGCCAAAGAAAUCUGGAGAUAAAGCGAUUUUAACACCAUUGAUUACAACACUUUUGACAAAUUGGUGCUUUUGGGCUAUCGAUACAACCUUGUGCAAUUGAAUCCUGCUGAUAAGUUUGCAAUAUUACCGCUAAAUAAUAAAAAUUCAGGAGCCUUAAGCCCAAUUCGAAGCCAAAAGCGGUAUGAGCUGGUAUUUAAAGCAUAAUUUGGCAACUACGGCUAGUAUAAGCAUAGCUUUCGUUCAUCACUGUUGCUGUUUAAAGGCGUGAAAAUUCCAUGAAUGAAAAGUUGAUUUAUUCGUACUUAAUAUUACCUUGCAACAAAAAUGGUAACUAAUUUCCAACGGGCACUACCUAUCUGAUAUUUUGAUGUAAACGGAAACCUUACAGAACAACUCCACACAACAUGGAUAAAAUCUCGUAUAUUUUGCUCGUUGAGCAAGCCUAUGAUCUUGUGGCUUAAUUUGGCAGCACUGCGACUUCGUGGGUCUGAACAGAUGACAACUAAACUAACCGCAAAUUAAAAUCCCGCAGAAAUAAUUGGCAAAAACAGGGCGUUAUUCGUGAUAACAAUUAUAAAGAAAGUUUUACUUUUAUUUAAGAAAUUUUAAUUUUAAAAAAGCUUUACUUUUAUUUAAAUGAAAAUAAAUUUUAUGUAUAUAAUUAGCCCAGGAAAAGAAGUAAGAUUUAAGUUGGUUAAAACAUGUAAUUGUUUUGAAAUAUAUGUAUAUGCAUAUGCAAGUUAAUA